rnacentral:rRNA from 1 species
UACGUAGGGUGCAAGCGUUGUCCGGAAUUAUUGGGCGUAAAGAGCUCGUAGGCGGUCUGUCGCGUCUGCUGUGAAAACUCAGGGCUUAACCCUGAGCUUGCAGUGGGUACGGGCAGACUAGAGUGCGGUAGGGGAGACUGGAAUUCCUGGGUGUAGCGGUGAAAUGCGCAGAUAGUCAGGAGGAACACCGGUGGCGAAGGCGGUUCUCUGGGCCGAUACUGACGCUGGAGGAGCGAAAGCCGUGGGGAGCGAACAGG